AGAGAGCUGUAAGUGGAGAGGGCUGUGCCCCAAGUAAAAGAGCUGUAAGUAAAGAGCUGUGCCCCAAGUAAAAAAGCUGUAAGUAAAAAGCUAUGAAGGAAGCUGCAAGUAAAGCGGAAGCUGCAUGAACCCAUCUUGGUGUCUGUGUCGUUCCUGUCUCCAAGGGCGGCAAGGACUGCGGAGACUGCGACAAGUGUUGGCCCGUACGGGGAACUCAUAAUUUUGGUAAGCAGCGGUAACUAAAGAAAGCAUAGGCCUGAUAGGUUCCCCGGAAAAAAAAGGGGACGAAGCAUUAAGGUUCUCAGAUAUAGAGACGAAGGUAAGGUUCCUGGGAAAAAAGGGGACGAAGCACUAAGGUUCUCAGGAAUAGAGACGAAGGGAAUUUCAGCAACAUGGGUUCAACUGCGACUAAAAUAAAAGUAAAAAUGUUAGCCAUCUGGAUCUUAGUUGGGGCGUGCUUGGGGGACGCCAGUGGAUAGUACAGUGCUGAAAUAGAGGAAGGAGCAGUGGUGCUUGAGGAAGCUAAGGAGAUUGCUUCUCAGGCUAGCUGCUGAAAACUUAAACAGCUUAGACAACAAGCCAAAGAUAAGAAAGAGAAGAAGAAAUCUCGCUCUGAAGGGUCUGCUAGUGACAGCGAUGGGACUGAUGGUGACAGUGACAUCUGUAGUCGGAUGUUCCGCUGGAGUUUGAGACGUGGUAGGCCACCCGAGCCAUCAGCCCCUCUGUUGCCUUCUCCUCCCCCCUAUAAAGAUGAGGGAGACAAAGGGGGAAAGCGUAAUCUUCAUGAAAAGUCUGGAAAAAUGUGCCCACUGUUGCGGGGGCCUUCCCAGUAUUUCAGGACCAACAGGGGCAACGGAAUCAUGAACCUCUGGAGUGGAAGGUUAUACAAAGAUUGAAGGAGUCGGUUUCUACUUAUGGGGUCCAGGCUGCCUUUGCCGUAACUCAGGUUGAGUCCCGCGUAGCCCAGCUAAUUCUUAAGGGUAUAAAGGUGGGACUAGGAGCUUUUGGUAAACAACCUGAUGUAAAACGGAUUGAGGUACUUACCUCCACUAAUUGGCUUCAGUUUGUCAUGACCCGGACUGAGCCAAUCCCAGGUGCUGUUAAUGUAUUUGCUGAUGGAUCCAAAGGCGGUGUGGGAGUAGUUUAUGUUGAAGGAAAUCAACCCCAAGCUCAUGUAUUUCCCUAUCAAUCUGUACAAGGUGUUGUUGGAGCAGUUAGUAUUUUCAUUAUUCAUAUGUCAGAAAUGUGUGUAACCUCUGUUCAGUAUCAGAAUUUUUCCAGAGCUGCAAAUCUGUCGCAUGCAAUUGGUGCGAUGCUGCUAGGAAAUUGGAGUCAUGAUCUCAACACAAAGAAGGAAUUGCAAGCAUCAAUUGUUGCCGUGAACAACACUCGUGUGGAAAUUUCAACUGCAAAGCAAUGGCUGGAGAUCAUGCAGGGAACUGUGGAAUUCUUAAAAAAUUGGGGAGGGAUAGCCUUUUGAGCGCUCCUGCUGACUGUUGUGUGUGGAGGAAUGCUUUGGUGGAUGGCACAUAUGUGAAGGCAGCACAGGGCUGAUAAAUGAGCCUUAGUGCAGGCUAUGGCAGCCUUAGAAGCUGGAACACCCCCCCCCAUGUUGGCUCAACAUGCUGGAUUAGUAAUCAAUGAUGGGUAAGACCCUCACGUGUGCAUACCAACCUAAGACAGGAUGGCGAAAGUGAGUUCCUCACUCCCAUGAUGGGUAAGGAUGUGGCACAGAUGGGGGCAACCUAAGACAAAUGUUGAUCCCAGGGCUACUAAUAAAACUAAAAUGGGGAGAUGCAGGAAGCAGUUGCAGCCGCAUGGGCCAAGAUGGCGCCCUGGCCCAUUGCCAGGCCCAGUGAAACCCACAUGUUUACUGCCUUGCCCGAACAUGCGCAGUGAAACUGCAUGUGUAAGCUGCCUGCCAAGUUGGAUCUGUCAGCCUAUCUGUGACCGAUCUGAGCUUGUGCCUGGAGCGUGUGUGAUUCUGAUUGGAUGAGGUGGUGUGGAGGGAGAUGAGGUCAGUUGCCACUACUGUAUAAAUAUAGCCCUUGCCCUGAGGGGAAGAGAGCUGUAAGUGGAGAGAGCUGUGCCCCAAGUAAAAGAGCUGUAAGUAAAGAGUUGUGCCCCAAGUAAAAGAGCUGUAAGUAAAGAGCUGUGCCCCAAGUAAAAGAGCUGUAAGUAAAGAGCUGUGCCCCAAGUAAGAGAGCUGUAAGAAAAGAGCUGUGCCCCAAGUAAAAAAGCUGUAAGUAAAAAGCUGUGGAGGAAGCUGCAAGUAAAGCGGAAGCUGCAUGAACCCAU
rnacentral:lncRNA from 1 species